rnacentral:tRNA from 1 species
GAGUCGCAGACCGAUUGGUUUAGGUAUCUGGCUUUUAACCAGAGUUUGCUUGGUUCGAUUCCAAGGCGAUUCACCA